rnacentral:rRNA from 1 species
CGGGUGCGUAACACGUGAGCGACCUUCCGUCUUCUGGGGGAUAGCCGGCCCAACGGCCGGGUAAUACCGCAUACGCUCUCUUGGCCGCAUGGCUGGGGGAGGAAACUUCCGGGGGAGGACGAGGGGCUCGCGGCCUAUCAGCUAGUUGGUGCGGUCACGGCGCACCAAGGCGACGACGGGUAGCUGGUCUGAGAGGAUGGCCAGCCACAUUGGGACUGAGAGACGGCCCAG